AGUGAACGCUGGCGGUAGGCCUAACACAUGCAAGUCGAACGGCAGCACAGUAAGAGCUUGCUCUUACGGGUGGCGAGUGGCGGACGGGUGAGGAAUACAUCGGAAUCUACUUUUUCGUGGGGGAUAACGUAGGGAAACUUCCGCUAAUACCGCAUACGCCCUCCGGGGGAAAGCAGGGGAUCUUCGGACUUUGCGCGAUUGAAUGAGCCGAUGUCGGAUUAGCUAGUUGGCGGGGUAAAGGCCCACCAAGGCGACGAUCCGUAGCUGGUCUGAGAGGAUGAUCAGCCACACUGGAACUGAGACACGGUCCAGACUACUACGGGAGGCAGCAGUGGGGAAUAUUGGACAAAGGGCGCAAGCCUGAUCCAGCCAUACCGCGUGGGUGAAGAAGGCCUUCGGGUUGUAAAGCCCUUUUGUUGGGAAAGAAAAGCAGCAGGUUAAUACCCCGCUGUUCUGACGGUACCCAAAGAAUAAGCACCGGCUAACUUCGUG
rnacentral:rRNA from 1 species